CUGAGUCGUCGACACGAGUUGUUGCUGGUCCCUGAACAGGGGACACGUGCACGCUCUGUUUACACAUCCACUCACACCUGUGCACCCUCUGUAGUUCUAUGGUCUGGGGGGCCCUGCCUCCCUUCUGUGGUUCUGCAUCUUUACAACACGCAAUGUGAUAAAGUCUCAUGGAAUGUACACCGCGUUUAACGCAAUACAAUA
rnacentral:misc_RNA from 1 species